AUAAAAUGAAGCAGCAACAACAACAAAGGAAGGCUCUGAAAUGGAUUCCAAACGGUGAUCGAAGUGCGGACGGGGGCGGCUAAGGGCUGGGUUCCUGGUUCCUGGCUGCGCAUUGAGGUACGGCCGACCAGUGGCUCAAUAAUAGAAAAAUAUUCAACAAGAGUUUACAAUGUUGCGGUGAUGUACAGGUGAUGUAGGUGC
rnacentral:lncRNA from 1 species